rnacentral:rRNA from 1 species
ACUCCUACGGGAGGCAGCAGUGGGGAAUAUUGCACAAUGGGCGCAAGCCUGAUGCAGCCAUGCCGCGUGUAUGAAGAAGGCCUUCGGGUUGUAAAGUACUUUCAGCAGUGAGGAAGGUGGGUAUGUUAAUAGCAUAUUCAUUUGACGUUAGCUGCAGAAGAAGCACCGGCUAACUCCGUGCCAGCAGCCGCGGUAAUACGGAGGGUGCGAGCGUUAAUCGGAAUUACUGGGCGUAAAGCGCAUGCAGGUGGUUGUUAAGUCAGAUGUGAAAGCCCGGGGCUCAACCUCGGAAUUGCAUUUGAAACUGGCAAACUAGAGUACUGUAGAGGGGGUUAGGAAUUUCAGGUGUAGCGGUGAAAUGCGUAGAGAUCUGAAGGAUACCGGUGGCGAAGGCGGCCCCUGGACAGAUACUGACACUCAGAUGCGAAAGCGUGGGAGC